UAGUCCACGCCGUAAACGAUGUCAACUAGCCGUUGGGGGGCUUAGUCCCUUUAGUGGCGUAGCUAACGCGCUAAGUUGACCGCCUGGGGAGUACGGUCGCAAGAUUAAAACUCAAAUGAAUUGACGGGGGCCCGCACAAGCGGUGGAGCAUGUGGUUUAAUUCGAUGCAACGCGAAAAACCUUACCUGGUCUUGACAUCCUGCGAACUUUCUAGAGAUAGAUUGGUGCCUUCGGGAACGCAGUGACAGGUGCUGCAUGGCUGUCGUCAGCUCGUGUCGUGAGAUGUUGGGUUAAGUCCCGUAACGAGCGCAACCCUUGUCCUUAUUUGCCAUCAUUUAGUUGGGCACUCUAGGGAGACUGCCGGUGACAAACCGGAGGAAGGUAAGGAUGACGUCAAGUCAGCAUGCCCCUUAUGCUCUGGGCUACACACGUGCUACAAUGGCCGUGACAAAGAGUUGCUACUUUGUGAAAACAAGCUAAUCUCAUAAACGCGGCCUCAGUUCGGAUUGC
rnacentral:rRNA from 1 species